UUAUAKWUUUUUUUCCUYGGCUCAGGARGAAMGYGGGGGGCGKGCUUAACAYRYGCAAGUCGARACGAKRACCUCCUUUCGGGAGGGGAUUAGUGGCGAACGGGUGAGUAACACGKGGGCAAUYUGCCCUGCACUCKGGGACAAGCCCUGGAAACGGGGUYUAAAUAMCGGAUACUGACCCGCUUGGGCAUCCAAGCGGUUCGAAAGCUCCGGCGGUGCAGGAUGAGCCCGCGGCCUAUCAGCUUGUUGGUGAGGUAAUGGCUCACCAAGGCGACGACGGGUAGCCGGCCUGAGAGGGCGACCGGCCACACUGGGACUGAGACACGGCCCAGACUCCUACGGGAGGCAGCAGUGGGGAAUAUUGCACAAUGGGCGAAAGCCUUGAUGCAGCGACGCCGCGUGAGGGAUGACGGCCUUCGGGUUGUAAACCUCUUUCAGCAGGGAAGAAGCGAAAGUGACGGUACYUGCAGAAGAAGCGCC
rnacentral:rRNA from 15 species